rnacentral:rRNA from 1 species
AUCUACACGGCGAUGACGGGUAGCUGGCGUGAGAGCGCGAUCCCCCACACUGGAACUGAGACACGGUCCAGACUCCUACGGGAGGCAGCAGUGGGGAAUCUUGCACAAUGGGCGAAACCCUGAUGCAGCGACGCCGCGUGGGGGAGGAAGGCCUUCGGGUUGUAAACCCCUGUUCUGAGGGAAGAAGAACGAGGCGACCAAAAGACUAACCCAUGGAUAACUACGUGCCAGCAACCUCGGGCUAACUACGUGCCGCAGC